rnacentral:rRNA from 1 species
AUUGAACGCUGGCGGCAUGCCUUACACAUGCAAGUCGAACGGCAGCACGGGGGCAACCCUGGUGGCGAGUGGCGAACGGGUGAGUAAUACAUCGGAACGUGCCCAGUAGUGGGGGAUAGCCCGGCGAAAGCCGGAUUAAUACCGCAUACGACCUACGGGUGAAAGCGGGGGAUCGCAAGACCUCGCGCUAUUGGAGCGGCCGAUGUCAGAUUAGGUUGUUGGUGGGGUAAAGGCCUACCAAGCCUACGAUCUGUAGCUGGUCUGAGAGGACGACCAGCCACACUGGGACUGAGACACGGCCCAGACUCCUACGGGAGGCAGCAGUGGGGAAUUUUGGACAAUGGGGGCAACCCUGAUCCAGCCAUGCCGCGUGCGGGAAGAAGGCC